CGGAAAAAAAAAACGCGGCUGCUUGUAUAUACCAAAAACCGGAGAGAGAGACUCUUCCUGCCCCUUCCUGCUAAUUGAUUCCAGCUAUAGAGAUCGUAACAAAGCGACCACAAGACUUCAGGUCCCACAAAAUCAUUUGGGCUUUGCAAAAGAUCUUUUUGUUUAAUUUGCUUUAGUUAUUGGAAUUUAAAUAUCCAAUCUCUGGGUCGGUGGCAUCGAUUCGGAUUUUAUGAUCGGGUCUGAUUUUGAUCGUUACAUUGGAAAUCCUCGGUGGGUUUUUGGUCUUGUGGAAUGGGUCAGGUCCGGUGUUAUGUUUCGAUUUGCGGCGAGAGAGGUCUAAGUUUGUGACUUGAUUGAUUGUCCCUUUAACAUAAUAUAAUUUGUUAUUGUUUGAUGAUUUCUUUGGGGAGGAGAGAUGCGAGAAAGGAGCUAGGGUUAGGGUUUGGCGUUGGGAGAGAGAUGGAGGACACUGAGCUUGAAGAAGGGGAGGCUUGCUCGGACCAUAACAACAACGAUGAUGUUUAUGAAGCAAGCAUGGACCCAGAUAUUGCUCUCUCUUACAUAGAUGAGAAACUUCAGGAUGUCUUGGGGCACUUUCAGAAAGAUUUUGAAGGGGGAGUUUCAGCAGAGAAUUUGGGGGCCAAGUUUGGUGGUUAUGGUUCUUUUUUACCUGCCUAUCAGCGUUCUCCUGUUUGGUCUUAUCCAAGGACUCCACCAAAAGUUCAGCACUACAACUCUCCUAGAUCUCCAAACAAUUCACAACUGGAGGGUGUCCAUCGUGGCUCAGUUUCUUCAUCAACUGUGCCCCAGUCAGUAAGACUUGAACCUGCUUCUUCCAGUGCGACUUCACUGACUGCAUCAAAAGCAUCAUCCUCCAUGAUUGUUUCAGUCAUACAAGAAGCAGGCUUGUCGGCCACUAAUAUAACUAAGGAACAUGCUCUGAGACAUGAAUCAGUAAACCGGAAAUCUGUUAAUUUACCAGACCGAAAAAUGUUCAAGGUUCGAAUCAAGGUGGGUUCUGAUAAUUUGUCGACACAAAAAAAUGCUGCAAUCUACAGUGGUCUUGGCCUUGAUGUGUCGCCAUCUUCAUCACUGGACGACAGUCCCUCUGGAAGUGAAGGGAUGUCUCAUGGACCUCAAGAUUCUCCAUUUAAGUCUCCAGCUCAUAUUCUUCGGAUAAUGACUUCAUUUCCGGUUCAUGGGGGUUUAUUGCUAUCUCCUCUACCUGGUGAUUUAAUUCACCUCAUAGAAAAGGAAAAGCUUCAUAAAGGCAGUGGAUCGUUGCAUUCCCAUACGGUUGAUAUAGAAAGUUCUGGCAUUAUAGUUAAUGGGUCUGAUUCUUUGAAAGGUGAUGGAAAAAUAUUGGGAGAAAAGAAAAUAAGGUCAGAGAGAAAUGAAAUAUCAUCAGAAUCAAAAAAUGAAAAUAAUAAGGAUUCUUGGAGUGGUAUUGUUGUUUUGCCGAAGGUGAUGGACCUUGACACUUUGGCCUGUGAGGAACUUGUUUCUAACACGCUAAAACUUCCUCUUGUCUCCAGUUCAAGUUCUGUUUCUGAUUCAGCAAAAGGCUUGGUUAGGGCAUCUAAUACAUCUAGGGAAGCAUAUAAGGGUGUAAUGAGGGACAAAGGCUUUUCUGAUCUAACAAAGGAGGAGCCAUUAGGGCUGUUGUAUACACAUGAGGAUGCCUUGGUUGAGAAUCCCAAAGCUACAUCAGCUGGAAAGAUCUGGGAUGACAAGAAAGCUAGUUCUCUUGACAGUGGUGGUGUCUACCCUAGGAAAGAUGGCAAUCGGAUAGGAGAAAAACCUUAUGACUCUGUCAAAAGUGACUCAAAUAUUUCAAAGGGUCUGAAAGCUGUAAGCUCUGAACUGACAGACACUCCCAAGCAGAAGGCUGAUCAGAAAGUCACAUCCCAUGAAAAGGAAGGUACCAAGUUUCCUUCUGGCAAGGAGCGUUCAUUUUCUGAGGGGAAAAAGAAACUAAAAGAUAGCUUGACAGGUGGCUCUUCUUUGGUAGUAAAAAAUAAGAAGAGCAGUUAUGCAGAUGACUGUCCUAAAUGGGAGUUAGAAGACUCAAAAUCUCAAAAGAAUACUACAAAACCUGGGGAUAGGUAUAGAGAUUUUUUUGGGGAUAUUGAACUAGAUCAAGAAGAGAAACAAAUGAGUCCGUUGGAAAUGAGUUAUGAAGAUAGACUGAAGGCCUCUGACAUCGGUGAAAAAGGCACGCAUUUCUCUAAUAAUGUAUUAAAGGAGAGAUCAAGUGAUAAGAAAAUUGAUAAGCUGUCAACAUUUGAAGUGCAUCCUAAAACAGCUUUGAGAGUUGCUCCCUGCUCUGGAAAUGGGACUAUAUCUGAUUUUGGUCCUGCUGCAACAGAAGACAAUUGGGUCUGUUGUGACAAGUGUCAGAAAUGGCGGCUUCUUCCACUUGGUAAAAAUCCUAAUGACCUACCAGAGAAGUGGCUGUGUAGCAUGCUUAAUUGGCUGAAUGGUAUGAACCGGUGUAGUUUUAGUGAGGAAGAAACAACAAAUGCUGUUUUGGCAUUGAACCAAAUCCCUGCUCCAGUGAGUCAAAAUAAUCUGCUGAUCAAUCCAGGUGGGGUUACAUCCAAAUUUGCCUUAGUUGAUAGUCAGUUUGAUCAGAACCACCUAGACAUUGGUUUGCAUGCCAUUCCCAGUGGUGGAAAGAAGAAAGCUUUUAGGGAUGGUUCUACUCCAUUGCCAAACUCUAUAAAGAAGAGUGUACAGUCAUCACUGACAAAUGGAAGCUUAAAUGGUGUGAACCAACCUAUGGUAAGUGAAACUGAUUUUCUGAAACUAAGCAAGUCUAGUGACUUGGCUGCGGAGAAGUACAAACAUAAGCAGAAAGAGAAGCAUAGAGUAGACAACUGUUCCAAUGGAGGUGAUCCUAGGCAAUCAAAGAUGAAAGGCAAAAGGGACCCUGAGCAAGAUUUAUUCAGGGCCUCCAAGAAAAUCAGGACUGAAAGUUUGCAAGAAGAUUGGGUGUCUGAUCAUGUAAACAUUGAAAAGGUAGGUCCUAGUUCAAGUAAUGGUCUGCCUAAAAACACUGGUCGCUCUUCUUCUAAGGAUCAGGUACAAGUUCCUGCUAGAAAACCAAAGGAGGAUGUUCCAAUUUCCAUGGAUGAUGUACCUAUGGAUAUGGGAAAUCAGAUUGAUAUAGAAGUUGGAAAAAAGAGGAAGGUAAAGGGAAGUCAUGAUGCUCAAGCCAAUCCAUGUGAGCUCUCAAAUUUGGGGCAUAGUCUCCAGAAAAGCAGGAUCCUGGCCAAGGAGGAGUUCAGUGAGAAUGAUUACAGGAAAGAGAAGAAAGCCAGGAUAUCCAGGUCUGAUGAAAAGGAGGCCAGUGCAAGUAAAGGCAGUAGUAAAUCAAACAAAAAAGGUAGUUGUAGAAAGAACAAGCAACUAAGACAAGAUGUUGGGAGUACUGUAUCUCAACCCAGCUUGGAUGGUGUGGAUUCUUUGAAAAGGGAUUCUGGAUCUCUGCAUCCUUCUGCGGCUGCUACUUCUAGCUCUUCUAAGGUUUCUGGUUCCCACAAAGCCAAAGUCAAUGUCCAUGACACUAAGGGAUCUCCAGUAGAAUCAGUUUCUUCAUCACCUCUGAGAGUUCCAAAACCAGGUAAGCUUAUGACGGUGCGAAGGAACUUAACUGAGAAAGAUGACUCCACUGAUACUGGUUUUUUUGCCCUAGGUGGUCAGAGAAGAUGCUCAGAUGGUGAAGAUGAUGGUGGGAGUGAUCGAUGUCUGACAGCAAAGAAGGAUAAAAUUCUUGAUGUGGCUCAUCAUGGUUCCCUUGAAUCCUCUGUGCUUGAUUUUCAAGAAAAAGACUCGAGUCAUGUUUCUGGUGGUAAAGCUAAACAGCAGAUCAUGCCUUCCCCCAAUGUUAUAAACCACCACUCUGCAAAUGGUGGUGCAGAUUAUUUAGGCCAAGACAGUCGAUGUCCUGUUGAAACUACAUCUUCAGAUCGAUGUUGCAAAGAUAAUAGACAACAUGAAUAUCAUUAUCAUGUGAAUGGUUCCAAUCCAAGGAAGUCUGGAAAGGGAUCCUCAUCAAGGUCCAAAGACAAGAAUAGAUGUUUAAAUUCUGAACUUGACAAUGGUAAAGUUAUGGUUUCUGACUCGAUUAAUGUGCGAGCACCUUCUUAUGAAGAGAAACCAACAGAUGGUAAAGUUAAGAUUGAAGAGAAGGUUGGGGUCAGAUCUGAUGAAAGUGAGAAGAGAUAUGUUGAUAAAAAGGACCCCACUGGAGUAUUGUCAAGUGAGAGUAGUAAAAAAGAGAGUCGGUCUAAAUUUCAGGUACACAAUGGUCCUGAUAGUAAAGCACAUGCUAUUUCCAGCGAUGAUAUGGCUUGUACGCCAAAGCAGAUUCUGCCGCUUGAUUGUGAGGCAGUCUCUGGGAGAGGGAAGUCACCAUCAUUACCUCCCUUCAGAGUUGCUCCAAAUGACACAACGUCUCACUGCCCUCUACCAGUUUCUGGGACUCAGAAAGGAAAUGGAGCAAAGAUUUCAGUUUUUAAUGCCUCUGACAGUGAUAAUGCAUUGAAGACGCAGAAACAAAUCAGAAAGGUUGAUCAAACAAAUGGGACUUGUAACCACAGUUCAAGGGAUCCCCUGUCAAAUGAGCACAGGGGCAGGGAUCUUGAUGCCCCAAGUCCAGUUAAAAGGGAUUCCUCCAGUCAGGCUGCUACAAAUGCACUGAAAGAAGCUAAAAAUCUAAAACACCUGGCUGAUCGUCUCAAGAGUUCUGGGUCGAAUCUUGAGAGUACAAAGCUUUACUUUGAGGCAGCCCUUAAGUUUCUUCAUGGAGCCUCCCUGUUGGAAACUUGCAGCAGUGAGAGUGCCAAAACUGGAGAGAUGAUUCAGUCGAUUAAAGUGUACAGUAGCACUGCAAAACUCUGCGAGUUUUGUGCCCAUGAAUAUGAGAAGUCCAAAGACAUGGCUGCUGCUGCCCUGGCCUAUAAAUGCAUGGAGGUGGCAUACAUGAGGGUAAUUUAUUCUUCACAUGCCGAUGCAAAUAAUGAUCAACAUGAAUUGCAGAAAGCCCUACACAUGUUUCCUCCAGUGUUUUUGGCUGUUUGACAUGGUGUCAGUCUUCAUUGUUGCAUUGGCAUCAGGUGAGUCUCCUUCUUCUUCUGCAUCUGAUGUUGAUAACUUGCAUCACCCAGCAACAGUGGACAAGGGUUUCUCAGCCAAAGAUGCUCCUCAAGUGACAGGAAGCCAUGUCAUUGCUGCGCGAAACCGUCCCACUUUUUUGCGGUUGCUUAAUUUUGUGAGUGUAUUUGUAUUUCAUUGAGAAAUUUCAUUUAAUUAAUUGAUCUUGUUGCAUAAAUUCUUCCAAGUUUGUAACUUUGAGAUUGAGAAUAUAAAGGUCUAUUCUGAUAUGGAAUCAAAGUUACACUGCAGUAGGACCUGUAUCACUUAUGGGUAUGAAGAAAGGGUCUUUGCCUUUCUAAUGCCAUAGAUGCAAAAGCAUCGUAUUUAUCACUUGCUAUGUGUCAUAUGCUGUGAAAAUCAGUUGUCAUCAACGUUCAUUUGUUGCCAAGCAACACAUAAAGCUCUGUCAUCGUUCAGUAUUUGCUUCCUACUUAUUUAUUCAUAUGUAUCACCAUUAUCAAGUGGUAAUUUUGCAGGCUCAGGAUGUAAAUUUUGCAAUGGAAGCCUCGAGAAAAUCACGGAUUGCUUUUGUGGCAGCUAACGUAAGCUUAGGAGAAACCCAACAUAGAGAGGGUCUAUCAUCCAUUAAAAAAGCUCUUGAUUUUUAUUUCCAAGAUAUAGAAGGAUUACUACGUCUGGUACGGCUUGCAAUUGAAGCUAUAAGCCGCUAAAGAGUCCAGUUUUUUGUGGAGAUUGUACCAAAUUUGGGAGGAAAUAGAAGAGCCUGGUUAUUUGUGACCUGAUUUUCUCUGUUGCAGUUCUGGAGACUUCUGCUGGAGACUAGUCAUUGCCAUCUCACCAGCUUUGUUUUGUGUACAUUUGUAUGAUACAGGAAGGAUUUGGAAUUUUGAGUAUAUUUUUUCAUCAUACUUUAGCUGCUUUCUGAAGCAGAUAAAGACCAUAAUGUUAAAUCCAUUUCAGGAUUGGUAGUAAGGAAAUUUAUUCAUCAACUUCUACAGAAAUGAUUGUGAGGUUGUAAAAAGUGGCAGUUUUAUGGUGAAGCAGGACUGUUGUUGAAGAAAUAAGUGAAUAAAGUUACAGGACCCCAACUAUAAGUAUGUGUGGGGUUGUAGAAUUCUCAUACCAGAGUGUACCAUCUUUCUGGCAAUUGUUUUUUCCUGGAUGGAGAUUAGUUUAGCUCUUUUUUUUUUUCCCUCAUAAAUUUGUUAGUCAUAACAUGUUUGGAGACAUCUGAACCCUGAAGGAUGGGAAUUGUAAAAUGCGGGCAUUGACAUGAAUUUUAGUUCUACUAUUGGAGGCUGCAAUAAUUUUCUUGGUUCAGGAUCUGUGUAAAGAUGGCAAUGAUUGGGCAGUCUCAGGUUGUCUUCAGGAGCUUCUGAUGAUUCCAGUUAAGACAAUUUUUUUUCUUUGUUGUUAACAUAGACAAGCAGGAAAAAGUUAAGAGAAGUAUAUUCAAAAAAUAAUGACCGCCUGAGUCAUUUUCUUUGAAGUGGCUAUAUUUGUAUAUAAAAUCAGGUUAAGCGACAAUGCGAGCUUCAUUUUGUUUCUUUUCUUUUCUCCCUUUUUGGGGUAGUGGUGUUCAUGCUAUACCAUCAGCCGGUGGAUGACUAUUUAACAGGCUCCAAAGAAUCUCAUUCCAGUAGCUGCUGCCUGUGCCCUCUGUCCUGUGCUUCUAGACCACGCAAGAGUCAAAUUUCUCUCUUGAUUUGGCAAGCAUUUCUUGCAGUCUCCAAAUAAUGAGCAAUAAUUCAGUUGAUUUGAUGCUAUCUAAAAGGAUUUUUGCUUUCAAGUUCAGCAAUUGGGGUUUCAGCUGCAGACAGGCUGGAUUUUGAAGCAUUUGUGCAUUUUAUUUAGCCCCUACUCCCUUAAUUCUCUCAAACUGCUCAUCUACAGCAUUGUUCAUAUUAAUUGUAAUGUUAGAUUCUGACCAUAACCUAUCAUUCCUCGCCCCUUCCCACCCAACAAAAGCUAAAGAAAAAUCCAACGCCUUCCCCAUUACAUGUAUAGUAUCAAUAACAACGUUUAUUGAAGAAAGUUCUGAAACCCUAUUUUAAAAUGGUCACAGAACUUUGCUUGCUUAUUUGAUGGAUUUUCUUGCCUUUUGCAUAAAACUGGAGUAGAGAUGAU
rnacentral:misc_RNA from 1 species